UGCCAGACUCCUACGGGAGGCAGCAGUGGGGGAUAUUGCACAAUGGGGGAAACCCUGAUGCAGCGACGCCGCGUGUGGGAAGACGGUCCUCUGGAUUGUAAACCACUGUCCCCAGGGACGAAGAUGACGGUACCUGGGGAGGAAGCUCCGGCUAACUACGUGCCAGCAGCCGCGGUAAUACGUAGGUGGCAAGCGUUGUCCGGAUUUACUGGGUGUAAAGGGAGCGUAGGUGGCAUGGCAAGCCAGAAGUGAAAACCCGGGGCUUAACCCCGCGGAUUGCUUUUGGAACUGUCAGGCUGGAGUGCAGGAGGGGCAGGCGGAAUUCCUGGUGUAGCGGUGAAAUGCGUAGAUAUCAGGAGGAACACCGGUGGCGAAGGCGGCCUGCUGGACUGUAACUGACACUGAGGCUCGAAAGCGUGGGGAGCAAACAGGAUUAGAUACCCUCGUA
rnacentral:rRNA from 1 species